rnacentral:misc_RNA from 1 species
AAGAUCUGCAAAAGCAAUAUGUCAGGACCACGAAUUAUCGAGCCACCAAUAAAUAAUGCCAACAGAACAUAUUAAAAUCAAAUGUAUUAUCAUAAAAAGAGAAUUUCAUAAAAGCAGGGCAUAUAUCGGCACAACUGGCAAGCACGCUUGAAGAAUCAUUUCAUUUUGGUCAAAUCAUCCAGCAAUAUUAAACAGGGAAAGAUCACUUUUAUCUGGUAACAAAAAAACUUCAGUAAUGGAGUCAUUACCUUGUAAAUCUUGUGAUAGAA